rnacentral:rRNA from 1 species
ACCAUAGCGUUAUGGACCCACCUGAUCCCAUGCCGAACUCAGAAGUGAAACGUAAUAGCGCCGAUGGUAGUGUGGGGUUUCCCCAUGUGAGAGUAGGACAUCGCUAGGC